AGGACGAACGCUGGCGGCAGGCCUAACACAUGCAAGUCGAGCGGCAGCACGGGUACUUGUACCUGGUGGCGAGCGGCGGACGGGUGAGUAAUGCCUAGGAAUCUGCCUGAUAGUGGGGGAUAACGUUCGGAAACGGACGCUAAUACCGCAUACGUCCUACGGGAGAAAGUGGGGGAUCUUCGGACCUCACGCUAUCAGAUGAGCCUAGGUCGGAUUAGCUAGUUGGUAGGGUAAAGGCCUACCAAGGCUACGAUCCGUAACUGGUCUGAGAGGAUGAUCAGUCACACUGGAACUGAGACACGGUCCAGACUCCUACGGGAGGCAGCAGUGGGGAAUAUUGGACAAUGGGCGAAAGCCUGAUCCAGCCAUGCCGCGUGUGUGAAGAAGGUCUUCGGAUUGUAAAGCACUUUAAGUUGGAGAAGGCAUUAACCUAAUACGUUAGUGUUUUGACGUUACGACAGAAUAAGCACGGCUAACUCUGUGCCAGCAGCCG
rnacentral:rRNA from 1 species